CGCAGCACAAGUACUCCACUACUUCCCUCCCCUUCUCCUCUGGACACGGGGAUGUGAUCUACCCUACGGAUCUCCUCCCCCUGCUUCUACUAGUGGCCAGGCGCCCGUCCUCCCCCUGCAGAUGAUGUCCUCUCUCCCCGCCCCGUUCCUCAGUCCCCCCCCUCCCCUCUGCAGUCUGCACUUUGCACAGCCAUAGGCAUAGGCGUGCGCACGGGGGGGGGGGGUGAGGGGUGCCUGUUGCGUACAGGCACCCCUAACGUCCGGCACCCCCUUCAAACAUGCCCCACCCCCCCGUGCCGCACUCGGUGACGGUGGUCAGUGCCGCAGCUCUAAACCUCCCUACUCCCCAGUAAUCUUGGGACCCUCCCACCUCCAGCAGCCACCCUGGCACAGUUCCUCGACUCACCCGGCUGCAUCGCAAUGGGGCUGCAUGCAUGGACACUGGAGCUCGGAUCCUCCUGUUGCCGGCCUCCUCUUCGGGCUGUGUCUGGAUCCACGGGAAUGAGCUACUCUGCACCUGAGGUUGACUGGACAUGCGGCGCGUGUGAGCGAUAUCAUAGGCAAGGGUGGCAACUGGCAACACAUAAACCAAAUGAGAACCCAUCUAUGCCCUGCAUCACUGAAAGAUGAUAGCUGGAGAAGAAAAAGACAGCUUUGUACUUGAAUUUUGAACUGUACUACAGCCCCUAUCUGGAGCUGCCCCUGAUGUACACAGCAUUAGAAAAAGACAAAAGGAUCUUCAAAAAGAAUAAAAGGUGGUGUUCUUGCUUUGUUAUACACAGGAACAAAAUGACGAUUAGCAACAAUCUUCAACUUUAGAUUUGUGGAUACCU